CCUACGGGUGGCAGCAGUGAGGAAUAUUGGUCAAUGGGCGCAAGCCUGAACCAGCCACGCCGCGUGCAGGAAGACGGCUCUAUGGGUUGUAAACUGCUUUUGUACGGGAGUAAAGGCAGCUAUGCGUCUCUGUUUGAAUGUACCUUACGAAUAAGGAUCGGCUAACUCCGUGCCAGCAGCCGCGGUAAUACGGAGGAUGCAAGCGUUAUCCGGAUUUAUUGGGUUUAAAGGGAGCGUAGGCGGGCGGAUAAGUCAGAUGUGAAAGCUCGCGGCUCAACCGCGGAAUUGCAUUUGAUACUGUUCGUCUUGAGUACAGUAGAGGUAGGCGGAAUUCGUGGUGUAGCGGUGAAAUGCUUAGAUAUCACGAAGAACACCGAUUGCGAAGGCAGCUUACUAGACUGCAACUGACGUUGAGGCGCGAAAGCGUGGGGAGCAAACAGGAUUAGAUACCCCUGUAGUC
rnacentral:rRNA from 1 species